rnacentral:rRNA from 1 species
GCUACGGGAGGCUGCAGUGGGGGAUAUUGGACAAUGGGGGAAACCCUGAUCCAGCGACGCCGCGUGAGUGAAGAAGUAUUUCGGUAUGUAAAGCUCUAUCAGCAGGGAAGAAAGACAUGACGGUACCUGAGUCAGAAGCCCCGGCUAACUACGUGCCAGCAGCCGCGGUAAUACGUAGGGGGCAAGCGUUAUCCGGAAUUACUGGGUGUAAAGGGAGCGUAGACGGUAAUGCAAGUCUGGAGUGAAAGGCGGGGGCCCAACCCCCGGACUGCUCUGGAAACUGUGUAACUGGAGUGCAGGAGAGGCAGGCGGAAUUCCUAGUGUAGCGGUGAAAUGCGUAGAUAUUAGGAGGAACACCAGUGGCGAAGGCGGCCUGCUGGACUGUAACUGACGUUGAGGCUCGAAAGCGUGGGGAGCAAACAGGAUUAGAUACCCCGGUAGUC